UACGAAGGGGGCAAGCGUUGUUCGGAAUUACUGGGCGUAAAGGGCUCGUAGGCGGCCAACUAAGUCGGACGUGAAAUCCCCAGGCUCAACCUGGGAACUGCGUCCGAUACUGGAUGGCUUGAAUCCGGGAGAGGGAUGCAGAAUUCCAGGUGUAGCGGUGAAAUGCGUAGAUAUCUGGAGGAAUACCGGUGGCGAAGGCGGCAUCCUGGACCGGCAUUGACGCUGAGGUGCGAAAGCAUGGGGAGCGAACGGG
rnacentral:rRNA from 1 species